CAGACCACCAGCUAAGGUCCCAAAAUAUAUGUUAAGUGGAAAAGGAUGUGGCGUUGCCCAGACAACUAGGAUGUUGGCUUAGAAGCAGCCAUCAUUUAAAGAGUGCGUAAUAGCUCACUAGUCGAGUGACACUGCGCCGAAAAUGUACCGGGGCUAAACAUAUUACCGAAGCUGUGGAUUGUCCUUUGGACAAUGGUAGGAGAGCGUUCUAAGGGCGUUGAAGCAUGAUCGUAAGGACAUGUGGAGCGCUUAGAAGUGAGAAUGCCGGUGUGAGUAGCGAAAGACGGGUGAGAAUCCCGUCCACCGAUUGACUAAGGUUUCCAGAGGAAGGCUCGUCCGCUCUGGGUUAGUCGGGUCCUAAGCUGAGGCCGACAGGCGUAGGCGAUGGAUAACAGGUUGAUAUUCCUGUACCACCUAUAAUCGUUUUAAUCGAUGGGGGGACGCAGUAGGAUAGGCGAAGCGUGCGAUUGGAUUGCACGUCUAAGCAGUAAGGCUGAGUAUUAGGCAAAUCCGGUACUCGUUAAGGCUGAGCUGUGAUGGGGAGAAGACAUUGUGUCUUCGAGUCGUUGAUUUCACACUGCCGAGAAAAGCCUCUAGAUAGAAAAUAGGUGCCCGUACCGCAAACCGACACAGGUAGUCAAGAUGAGAAUUCUAAGGUGAGCGAGCGAACUCUCGUUAAGGAACUCGGCAAAAUGACCCCGUAACUUCGGGAGAAGGGGUGCUCUUUAGGGUUAACGCCCAGAAGAGCCGCAGUGAAUAGGCCCAAGCGACUGUUUAUCAAAAACACAGGUCUCUGCUAAACCGUAAGGUGAUGUAUAGGGGCUGACGCCUGCCCGGUGCUGGAAGGUUAAGAGGAGUGGUUAGCUUCUGCGAAGCUACGAAUCGAAGCCCCAGUAAACGGCGGCCGUAACUAUAACGGUCCUAAGGUAGCGAAAUUCCUUGUCGGGUAAGUUCCGACCCGCACGAAAGGCGUAACGAUUUGGGCACUGUCUCAACGAGAGACUCGGUGAAAUCAUAGUACCUGUGAAGAUGCAGGUUACCCGCGACAGGACGGAAAGACCCCGUGGAGCUUUACUGUAGCCUGAUAUUGAAAUUCGGCACAGCUUGUACAGGAUAGGUAGGAGCCUUUGAAACGUGAGCGCUAGCUUACGUGGAGGCGCUGGUGGGAUACUACC
rnacentral:rRNA from 1 species